UACGUAGGUGGCAAGCGUUGUCCGGAAUUAUUGGGCGUAAAGCGCGCGCAGGCGGCCUCCUAAGUCCGAUGUGAAAGCCCACGGCUCAACCGUGGAGGGUCAUUGGAAACUGGGGGACUUGAGUGCAGGAGAGAAGAGUGGAAUUCCACGUGUAGCGGUGAAAUGCGUGAGAGUGUGGAGGAACACCAGUGGCGAAGGCGACUCUUUGGCCUGUAACUGACGCUGAGGCGCGAAAGCGUGGGGAGCAAACAGG
rnacentral:rRNA from 1 species